CCACUAAACAGCUAGCCUCAACAAGUAAAACUCAACAAGUAAAACCUAUUUAUGAUUUAAGACUCACAAUGCACUUAAAUAAAUCAUUUUACUCCCAAAGUAUGUGCGACAGAAAAGGAAAAAAGAGCAACAGAUAAAGUACCGCAAGGGAACGCUGAAAAAGAAAUGAAAUAAAUCAAUUAAGUACUAAAUAGCAGAGCUUACCCCUCGUACCUUUUGCAUCAUGAUUUAGCAAGUAAAAUGCAAGCAAAGAGCCCUUUAGUUUGCGACCCCGAAACUGAGCGAGCUACUCCAGGACAGCCUAUUGUAGGGCAAACCCGUCUCUGUGGCAAAAGAGUGGGAAGAUCUUCGAGUAGAGGUGACAAACCUACCGAGCACAGUAAUAGCUGGUUGCCUGGGAAUUGAAUAGAAGUUCAGCC
rnacentral:rRNA from 1 species